rnacentral:rRNA from 1 species
AUACGUAGGGUGCGAGCGUUGUCCGGAAUUACUGGGCGUAAAGAGCUCGUAGGUGGUUUGUCGCGUCGUCUGUGAAAUUCCGGGGCUUAACUCCGGGCGUGCAGGCGAUACGGGCAUAACUUGAGUACUGUAGGGGAGACUGGAAUUCCUGGUGUAACGGUGAAAUGCGCAGAUAUCAGGAGGAACACCGGUGGCGAAGGCGGGUCUCUGGGCAGUAACUGACGCUGAGGAGCGAAAGCAUGGGUAGCGAACAGGAUUAGAUACCCUGGUAGUCCAUGCCGUAAACGGUGGGCGCUAGGUGUAGGGGUCUUCCACGACUUCUGUGCCGUAGCUAACGCAUUAAGCGCCCCGCCUGGGGAGUACGGCCGCAAGGCUAACACUCAAAUGAAUUGACGGGG